ACGAACGCUGGCGGCGUGCUUAACACCUGCAAGUCGCACGGAAAGGCCCUGCUUUUGUGGGGUGCUCGAGUGGCGAACGGGUGAGUAACACGUGAGUAACCUGCCCUUGACUUUGGGAUAACUUCAGGAAACUGGGGCUAAUACCGGAUAGGAGCUCCUGCUGCAUGGUGGGGGUUGGAAAGUUUCGGCGGUUGGGGAUGGACUCGCGGCUUAUCAGCUUGUUGGUGGGGUAGUGGCUUACCAAGGCUUUGACGGGUAGCCGGCCUGAGAGGGUGACCGGCCACAUUGGGACUGAGAUACGGCCCAGACUCCUACGGGAGGCAGCAGUGGGGAAUAUUGCACAAUGGGCGGAAGCCUGAUGCAGCAACGCCGCGUGCGGGAUGACGGCCUUCGGGUUGUAAACCGCUUUCGCCUGUGACGAAGCGUGAGUGACGGUAAUGGGUAAAGAAGCACCGGCUAACUACGUG
rnacentral:rRNA from 1 species